rnacentral:rRNA from 1 species
CCUACGGGGGGCUGCAGUGGGGAAUAUUGGACAAUGGGGGCAACCCUGAUCCAGCCAUGCCGCGUGUGUGAAGAAGGCCCUCGGGUUGUAAAGCACUUUCAGUGAGGAAGAACGCCUGGUGGUUAAUACCCAUCAGGAAAGACAUCACUCACAGAAGAAGCACCGGCUAACUCCGUGCCAGCAGCCGCGGUAAUACGGAGGGUGCGAGCGUUAAUCGGAAUUACUGGGCGUAAAGCGCGCGUAGGUGGCUUGAUAAGCCGGUUGUGAAAACCCCGGGCUCAACCUGGGAACGGCAUCCGGAACUGUCAAGCUAGAGUGCAGGAGAGGAAGGUAGAAUUCCCGGUGUAGCGGUGAAAUGCGUAGAGAUCGGGAGGAAUACCAGUGGCGAAGGCGGCCUUCUGGACUGACACUGACACUGAGGUGCGAAAGCGUGGGUAGCAAACAGGAUUAGAUACCCUAGUAGUC